rnacentral:miRNA from 1 species
UGAAGGCCUACUGUGUACCAGG